rnacentral:sRNA from 1 species
GUAGCCGAACCUCUUCUUAGCCACCUUACUGUCUCAAACAUGACCUGGGGCAGUGCGUUCAUCUCGUGGGAAGCUCAGGAGUCUGCCUUUGAUAGCUUUCUUAUAGAAGUUAGUAAUUCCGAUCACCCCCAUGAGACCAUGGUGCUCUCUGUGCCUGGAGUGUCUCGCAGCUCUGUCAUCACCAACCUCAAAGCUUCUUCUAAUUACACUGCCCACCUUCAUGGGCUGAUUGGCGGGCAGCGUGCUCAGACCCUGAUGGUCCAAGCAACCACAGAACCAGAGCCACAGUUGGGCACGCUAAUCCUUAGCAAUAUUACUCCAAACAGCUUCAACAUGUCAUGGACCACUCAAGCUGGGCUUUUUGCAAAGAUUGUGAUCAAUGUGAGUGAUGCUCACUCACUGCAUGAGUCCCAGCAAUUCACAGUCUCAGGAGAUGCAAAGCAAGCUCACAUCACAGGCUUGGUGGAGAACACUGGCUAUGGCGUCAGUGUGGCAGGGACCACCUUGGCUGGGGAUCCCACCAGACCCCUCACUGCCUUUGUCGUUACAGAGGCCCUGCCCCUUCUGGAAAACCUAACCAUUUCCGACAUUAAUCCCUACGGGUUCACAGUUUCCUGGAUGGCAUCGGAGAAUGCCUUUGACAGCUUUCUAGUAACGGUGGUGGAUUCUGGGAAGCUGCUGGACCCCCAGGAAUUCACACUUUCAGGAACCCAGAGGAAGCUGGAGCUUAGAGGCCUCAUAACUGGCAUUGGCUAUGAGGUUAUGGUCUCUGGCUUCACCCAAGGGCACCAAACCAAGCCCUUGAGGGCUGAGAUUGUUACAG